rnacentral:rRNA from 1 species
UGAGCAACCUGCCCUUGACCCUGGAAUAACAGCUGGAAACAGCUGCUAAUACCGGAUAUGACCUCCGAUGGCAUCAUCUGGAGGUGGAAAGCUCCGACGGUCAAGGAUGGGCUCGCGGCCUAUCAGCUUGUUGGUGAGGUAACGGCUCACCAAGGCUUCGACGGGUAGCCGGCCUGAGAGGGCGACCGGCCACACUGGGACUGAGAUACGGCCCAGACCUCUACGGGGAGG